UACAGAGGUCUCAAGCGUUGUUCGGAUUCAUUGGGCGUAAAGGGUGCGUAGGUGGCUUGGUAAGUCGGAUGUGAAAUCCCGGGGCUCAACCCCGGAACUGCAUUCGAUACUGCUGAGCUAGAGUACUGGAGAGGAGAUUGGAAUUUACGGUGUAGCAGUGAAAUGCGUAGAUAUCGUAAGGAAGACCAGUGGCGAAGGCGGAUCUCUGGACAGUUACUGACACUGAGGCACGGAAGGCCAGGGGAGCAAACGGG
rnacentral:rRNA from 1 species